rnacentral:tRNA from 1 species
GCGGGUAUGGCGAAACUGGCAAACGCGCAUGAUUCAGGUUCAUGUGGGAAACCUUACAGGUUCAAAUCCUGCUACCCGCACCA